CAAAUUUACUUUAUCUGAAAUUAGUCAAACAAAUGGAAUAAAACAGAGCCAAAAAAAACUCAAAAACACAGGACACACUGUAGAAAAACCCAAAUUAAAUUAACAAAUCAAACUUACGCUCUAAAUACGAAAAAAUGAGAAGGGAAAAGAGGAAUUGUGGUGGUGUUAACAGUUGAGAUCAGCCAUUAAGUGGUGGCAGGAGGUGGCGAAUCGUCAAGCGAUGGCAAUCGGAGAACCUUCGCGGUGGUUCGCAAUAGAGGAUUGACAUCAAGACGGUGGACCGGUGGUUGUUGUGGUGGCUAGCGUUUUGGCAGUCGGAGAAAGGCGGACAUCUUCCUGCCCCCUGGUGGAACAAGACUUUGAUUCCAGCUGAGAUAAGUCGUGGAAGUGGAGUGAUGAAGAUAAGUGCUUAAGAGUUACUAGGACAUAAAAUCUGGCAUAGAAUUGCCCAGUUUUGUCCCUAGAAGAACCCUUGACAUUGUACAGAAAGAUGGGUUUCCGUUCUUGAUCCAUCGUUGAACCUGGGUGAAUAGACUGAAGAAGAUGAUUUGAAGUUAAAAGCAGCCAUAGCUGAACAUGGAUACUGCUGCUCCAAAGUUGCUACUUGUGUGUUCUUUUCAUACUUGUGAAAACCAUUUCAUAAUCUCUGUUUCUGAGUUUUCACUUUUCUCACUGGUCAUCACCAUCUAUACCUUGUCAUUUGAUAUCAUUUGCAUUUAAGUCCUUAGGGGAGUAGUUCUCUGAGUUUCCUGAGAUGAAAACUAGGAACAAAAUACUUGCUGAUGCAAAACUAUCUUAAUUGGGAAAUUGGAAGCAGUUUAGGGAAUUGAAUUUAUGAGAGGGUGAGUCAUUCAUAAAUGGUGGGAAGUCGUUGGUGAUGGAGCCCAUUACGGAAUGUUGGAUGGUAAAUGUAACGAAACAUAAAGGGGUAGUGCUAUUAUUAUUUGUUCACAGAUGGUCUCAUGGCUCGUACUCACUAAAAGAUUGAAUGCGAUGCUUCAUUUUGCCUAUGUAUGUCUUCAAUUCUGUGAAUUAUAUUCCUGAAUUUUAUAAACGAUGUUGUUGCUUGAAGGUCACAUGAUAUAAGAGGAUUCUCAAGUUUGGAAGCAUCACCAAUCUGGCCGAUGUAUCUUGUCCUAACUUGGACAAAGACCAGUAGUAAGUACUGUGAGGCCUGGAAGUUGCUUGAGGUAGAUGAUUAGACCACUUGAUCAAUGGCCUCAUCUUCGAUAUUUCGAGGCAAUAGAAGUUAAAGAUCCACUGUAUUUAGUCUUUUAAUUAAUGCCUUCUGUUGCAAUGCUGUCAUUUAUAUGUCACUGCCAGUUUUCUGGGGUUCUGUCACAAUUUUAAGAUCUUAUAUUUCCUCUCUUUUUUAUUCCAUUCUGUUGGCCGUUGUCUGCCAUAAAAGGGUGAUUUGAUUAUUUAUUCAUGUAGUCAUGACUGCCAAUGAAAUGUACCUAGUAAAUGAAAGAAUUCCUCUGAAAUUUAUGUCUGUUUGAUUUCCAGGACAUUCAACCUCUUGCAUAAACUUAAAUUGUGGAACAUGAACGAUUUUACAAAAGGAAACUACAGCAGUUACUUCAAUGCACGAAGUUGGUGGUUCUCCUUGACAAUGGUGAUCGAAAUUAGUAUAAUCAUCUAUUCUUUAGACAGCCAAGAUGCGUCCUUGACUCGCUAUUUGGAUUAAGGAAGGCCAAUCCUUUCGUGUACCACUCAAUCACUUUCUCCUGCAAUCAGCUUUUUGCAGCUCACUUAUUGCUUCACUUAUCUUCAUCCGAUCACGUGGUAAAUGACUUGAGCAAGCAACUCCAAUCUUUAUCACCGACACCAUGCACUCCUCUGUUUUUCGAAGCAUUUCAUGGGGUUUUGGUCCCCUUUUGUCAGGUUAUAGAGGUGGCCAAAAUGUAGAUUGGAAAUGGUGCCUUUGAAGUAGUUGUUUGAUAACUCAAUGGAUCGAAGACUUGUGAGGUUAUGUAUGGAGAUUGGUAAUGGCCCCGAAAAAUAGUUAUAAGCAAGUUGUAGAUAUUGUAAUUGAGGAAGUGUUAAGGCUAUAUGUGGCGGAAUACUUCCUCGCAAUUGGUUGUAAGCCAAGUACAAUAUCUGAAGAGAGGAGAGAUUGAAGAUGGACGGGGGAAUUAUACCUGACAGUUGAUUCAUAGACAAGUCUAAUAUUUGAAGCGAGGAGAGGUUAGAGAUGGACGGGGGAAUUAUACCUGAGAGUUGAUUUGUUGAGAGCUCCAAACUAGUUAAGUUGGUCAACUUAGGAAUGUUGUCCGGAAUAGGACCUGUAAAUGCAUUUGUGUGGCCCUUAAUACGUACCAAAGAUGUAAGAUUCAGUAUCAGUUUAAAGAUAGGCCCAGAGAGUUUAUUUUUGUGAAGCCAAAGCCAUUUGAGGUUGGACAACGCUCCUAAUUCCAUCGGAAGUUCACCUUCUAGAUUGUUGAUAGCAAGAGAAAGAUUUUGUAAGUUGAUGCAACUUGAUAAACUGGCUGGAAUUCCUCCACUGAGGGUGUUGUUAGGAAGAUAUAGUGAUUGUAGCCUCAAAAGACGGCCGAUUUCAGGGGGAAUUGAGCCAUGUAGGCUAUUACUGUCAAGCCAAAUGAUAUUUAGAAAACUAAGGUUCCCUAUGAAGGGUGAUAUGGUUCCUGACAAACCUCUACCAAACAGCUUUAGGCCAGUUACUCUUUUAUGUUUGCGGCCGCAAAUGACACCCUCCCAUAAACAAUGGUGAAGAGAGUGAUUCCAUGAGCUUAAAACUCCGUUGGGAUGAAGAUCGAUUAAUUGACUCUUGAUUGCUAGCAAUGCCAUAUAGUCUGUUUCGUUACUAAUGGCAUUAGCUACUCUAAGUGGAUGUGGCUGCAUUGCAAUUACAACAACCAAGAGGAUAACAGCUGCUUGUGUGUAUAACAGAGGUUGUGGCUUCAUUUUCUCUUCUUUUGUAUUAUUUGGUGAUUUUUAGCUUCCUUUCUUACUCUAUAUAUAGAUAUUUAAGCAAUAUAGUACUCCAUUAAAUUUGUCGUCAACUUCUUUCUGUUGUUUAACAUCAAGAGUAUACAAAUAAUGCAGUCGUCGUUUACUUUCGAAUUUGAAAA